CAAAACCCUAAGAAAAUGUUUAAUUUGGAUAUAAAAAAAAGGAGUUAACUACAGAGGGUAAGGUUCGAACACCUACAACUUUUGUAAAAUACGCUACUACUCAACGCAGACCACUACACCAAGGAGAUUAAAUUGCUCCGGGUGCCUCUCGAAUCAAUAUAACAACUUUUUCGGCUCCAGGGCCAGAGACCUCUAUAAGUAGACAUCUUCGUAACUUGGGAAUGGCAUAAAAGAAAAAAAACAUCAUUCUCUCUCAGUCGCUCCAUCACACAAAAUGCUGUCUCUGCGAUCAAUCUCCGCUGUUCUAAUGUCGCUCCUUCUCCUGUCUGCCACGGCAGGUAUGAUCCAGACCGGGCCCGCUCCAGUGAAAUCUCCCGUCGACCAUACCGGUCCAAAAUGGGUUCUUCCACCGGUGCCUAGCACCCAGGAAGAUUGUGGCUUCGUUUGCAGGCACAGCGAUUUGCUUCCUUUUGGAUGUCCAGGCGUCAACUGUUACUGUCUCCAGAAUCCAUAAAUAAUUGUUGUACGAGUUUGUCUACAAAAAUUAUCCAAGUUUGAUGAAAUAAAGUAUCUGAAUUAAGUGGUGA